rnacentral:lncRNA from 1 species
AAAGAACAAAGUUUUGUCCAUCUUUAUUCAUCAUAGCUGAAAGUUAGAGAAGAGAAAGGAGAGGAGAAAGCUUUUGAGUAUUCAGUCAUUAGGAGGAGGAAAAUUGAAGGUAAGUUCUUGGUACCUUGCUUUUAUUUUGAGGUUCAUGAGUUCUUCUUGAUUCUACCUUAACUCUUGAAGUAUAUUUUGAUUUUUAGUUGUGUUGUGAGCAUUUAGUCAUGAAUUAAAAUGAAGGAAAUGGUUGUUGUUUCAUGUUCUUUUGAUGAAAAAUGGAAGAUAGGUGAAGUUGAGCCAAACAAAUGAGCAUACAUGUGCCUUAGAUGUUAAAGGGAAAAAUCAGCUAACAUGUUGUGCUUUAAAAUGAUGAAAUGGAGAUUAUACUUAAGUAAAAUCAUAGAUAUGUGAUGAUUGAUUGGUGAUAUACAUGUUUAAAUAACAUCCAUGCAAGGUAUGUGUGAAAGAGUGAUUUGGUAAUAAAUCUGCUUGGGACAGAAGCAGUAACGUGACUUUGGAAAAUUACCAUAAAUUUUGGGAGAAGAAUUAGAAGCUGAAUAAAUUAUGUAAUUAAAGCUUAUUGAGUCUAGUUUCAAAUGAAAUAAACAAGAACAUAUUUUGAAUUCUGUACAAUGAGAAAUUUGAUUCGUAAUGAAGAGUGGUCAAAUUAGUCAAACAGUGAAACAUUGGAAACUUUAAGAAAAAUCUGGUAUUGAUUGGCUAGACCAAAAAUUCUGAAAAUUUUAUGGAUAGAAGAUAUAUGAGUCUAUUUUCAUGGAAAAUUAACGGCACUUGAUUUGGAGUUUCUUAGCUCCAUUUAUAAAUGAUUUAGUUACUGUUGCUCAGGAAGACAGCUUGCAGUGAAAUUAUGAUUAUGUGGUAAACAUUGACAAAAAUUUGUUAAUAAGUUGCUUAUUGAUUUCUUAUAAGCUUACUAUAAUCUGUAGGUGUGGUUGGCCGAAUAUGGUAUGGGGUUAAUAUGUAGUUCGUGUUUGAAUAGUUAGAUUAACGUGUUAGUAAUCCAAUUGUAGGCAGUUCGUGUGUGUGGAUCUCGUCAGCAUAUCGUCGCAAACAGGUGUGUAACUAAUACCCUCUUUCUUAGUCUAGAUUGACAAAAGCUGAAAUGUCGAAAACCGUUAUUUUGUAGAUUUGCGAGUGUGCGAAUGCUCGUGAGGUAAAUCGAUUAAUGCUAGAUUGACAAAGUGCAUGAUUUCUGUGCCCUCGAUAUUUUUGGGCUUAAUGGGCCAAAAUUGGAAUGAUGGGCCAACGGGCCCAAUUCGGUAAGAACCCUCGGUACGUGAUUCUGUUAGUACGUGAAAGGUAAGAAUAUGCAUGAAAAACCCUAAAAUAGAUAAAUUAUUAAAAUACCUUUAAAAGUGGAAAAUUUACAGUUUUACCCCUAGUAGAUAAAUUACCGAAAUACCCCUAGGGUUAAAUUGACCUAAAUGCAUGUUUGACUAUUGUUAUUUACUGCAUGCCAUGUUAUUAUCUGAUGCAUGGGACUGGGAUAUUGACGGAGGAAGUACUGAAAGUGGCUUGUCCACGUACUGGAGGCUUUGCCUCAAUUUACUGUUAACUGAGCAGCAAGGCUGCAACUGUUGAGUGUUGGGCUGGGUGAGUUGAGCUAUUCCCUACAUGGAGUGUAUGGCUGGUACGGGUGGAGUGUAGUGGUUGGUGGGUUGAGUAGUCUCCCCAAAUGGGCUUGCAUAUGUUAUUGAUGUUGCAUGUAUUUUGAAAUGGGCCUAUGGGCCAUACUGUUAUCUGAAUAAGGGGCUAAGGCCAAGUUUAUUGUAAUCUGAAAAGGGCUCUGGUCCAGUACCACUGUUGCCUGAAUGGGCUUAGGCCCAAUAGGCUUGACCUGACUUGGGCUUUGAAUGGGUUUUCCUUACACACUGAGUUUCCCCAAACUCACCCCUUUUAUUUUCAUCCACGCAGGAAAUCCCCAACCAUAGUGGGCUUGGAGCUGUGAGGGAAUUCGGAAUGGCCACCCGUUCUGAAAGUUUGAUUUUCUUCUGGUGAACUGGACAUCCUUUUAUUUACGUUUGAAGUUUUUGGGCUUUUAAAUGUAAUAAGGCCACUUAAUUAUUUUUGAUGGUUUUAAUAUGUAUUACUAAGAUAGAUAAUACUUAUUUUAACUGUUGAAAUUGGAUAGCUUUAGGGCGCGUUUUCAAAAACAACAGUUGAUUUCAAAAUAACACGACAACAAGCAAAGCUUCCGCAAUGAAAGUAUUUUCCAAAAUUAAUCACUUUUCCUAAAAAUGACUUAAUCAAAUCGGUUUCCUAGACAUAUCCAUGACGUUAAGGUGUGGCAAUGGCGGUAUGCAUGUCUAGGAUUGGAUCCGAAGGGAGCUUGGUACUUAAGCAGUCCGAUGGACUCACCACCUCUUUUCCGGUUUCCUACCUGGUGCACAGCUUCCAUUCACCUUAACCCUUAAUGAAUUAAUCUUUUGAACAUCAAG